AUUGUUACCUGGCAGGGGAGAUAACCGUGAUCUCGAAGGUGGUUUUCCCAGGGUGAGGCUCAUCCACUGCACUCGGGUAUGCCGAUUCCCCCACUUCCCCAGCUGUGGGAAACUCGAGGGCAUCAUUUGUGGUAGUGGGCGACUUGUGCUUGCACUCUCCCCCU